UAUUUGAAGUAGCUAGGGAGCCCAGCAAUCGACAGACCCACGUGUUCUUUGAAUUUGUUUUUUUUUUUGUGUGUAGUUGAGGUAGAGGAAUCUAACUUCCUCCCCCUGCAUGAAAAUCGAAUUGUUUCAAAAUUUUCUACUGAAUGUUUCAUUCUUCCUUCACUAAUCUAAAAAUACUGUCUUUAUCUGGACUCUGUUCUAUUGAUCCAGUUAUCUUUUCCUAUACUGGUACCAGUACCACACUGCCUAAUUCCAGUUGCUCUGGAACAUACUGUAUAAAUGGUAGGGUAAGCUCCUGCUCUUUGAUUAUCUUUUUGAUACUAUUCUUGCACAGUUUCUCUACCAAAUGUCAACUAGCCAGGUUUUGUUGAAAAUUUAUCUUGGAUUUAAAUAGGACUGCAUUGAAUUUGUAGGUUAAUUUGAGGAGAAUUGAUAUCUUUACAACAUAUUAGGAACAUGGUAUCCCAUGCCAUGUAUACAUUUUUCACUUUAACGUCUUUCAGAAGAGUUUUAACGUUUUCAUCACAGAGAUCUUAUACAUUCUUGGUUAAGUUUAUCCCUAGGUACUUUAUGCAGUUUUAUUGAUACUGUAAAUGGGAUAUUUCUUCUAUUUGUUAGUUAUUUGUGUUACAUAGGAAAGUUUUUGAGGUUUAUAUGUUGAUCUCUUGAUUUUGUAUGUAGCCUAAUCUUCCUGAAUUCUCAUAUUGCUUCCAACCUAAAGGAUGUCCGUCAUUUCAUAUGCAGACGUGCUCGUUUCUUCCUUUCCAGUGUUUUUCUUACUGCAGUGAUGAGGACCUCCUCAAAAGUGACCAGUCGUGGCCAUAGGAUAGGCAUCCUACUCUUAUUCUUGGCUUUAAAACCAUGCUUAGGUUCCUGGUAGCCAUUUUUGUUUCCCUACUUCUAAGAAUUUUUAUUAGGAAUUAUCUGUUACCUAAAACAAUCAAUAAAAUGUAUUGCCAGCUGCACGCAAGAUCCUAAGUUGGGUACUGUGAAAGAGGCAAAAGGAUUAUUAAACAAGAUCGCAUUCCUUCCACAAAAAAGUCUUCAUCUCCCUGGAUAGAUAAGACUUAAAAUAAAAAGGAAUGAAUAAAAAUUUGGAGAUAGUCAUUGUGAUGAAUAAUUCUGAUCAUGUUUCUUCCAAAACAGAUUUAUUCUCACAGAACAGCAGCAAAGGGCCAUAAAAAAGCGUAAGGGGCUUCUUUCGAUUUGUGCUGCGUAGAAAAUGCCCAGAGGAAAGCAAGAGUCAGGACUUCUUCUGGAGGAUGCAGCCGCUCUGGCUCAGGGACUUGUACAGACCUCUCAGUGCCACACGCAAGAAAAAAAUGGCGCAGAAGCUACAUGAUGAGUCUUCUGAUGAGGAAGAGAUUUUCAGUAGGGUUGCGAGGGCACCCAGAGAUGGCGCAGCUGACGUGAUUCUGACCAUCGAGCCGGAAGAGCCGGAUGAGGAGAGUGACACGG